GACGAACGCUGGCGGCGUGCUUAACACAUGCAAGUCGAACGGUAAGGCCCUUCGGGGUUACGACGAGUGGCGAACGGGUGAGUAACACGUGGGUGAUCUGCCCUGCACUUCGGGAUAAGCCUGGGAAACUGGGUCUAAUACCGGAUAGGACUCCUGGCUUCAUGGUUGGGGGUGUAAAGCUUUUGCGGUGUGGGAUGGGCCCGCGGCCUAUCAGCUUGUUGGUGGGGUAAUGGCCUACCAAGGCGACGACGGGUAGCCGGCCUGAGAGGGUGACCGGCCACACUGGGACUGAGAUACGGCCCAGACUCCUACGGGAGGCAGC
rnacentral:rRNA from 1 species